CGCGGGAUGGAGCAGUCUGGUAGCUCGUCGGGCUCAUAACCCGAAGGUCGUUGGUUCGAAUCCAGCUCCCGCAACCA
rnacentral:tRNA from 12 species